rnacentral:rRNA from 1 species
AGAGUUUGAUCCUGGCUCAGGAUGAACGCUGCGGUAUGCCUAACACAUGCAAGUCGAACGGACUCUUCGGAGUUAGUGGCGGACGGGUGAGUAACGCGUGAGAAUCUGGCUUCAGGUCGGGGACAACAGUUGGAAACGACUGCUAAUACCGGAUGUGCCGAGAGGUGAAAGAUUUACUGCCUGAAGAUGAGCUCGCGUCUGAUUAGCUAGUUGGUAGUGUAAGGGACUACCAAGGCGACGAUCAGUAGCUGGUUUGAGAGGAUGAUCAGCCACACUGGGACUGAGACACGGCCCAGACUCCUACGGGAGGCAGCAGUGGGGAAUUUUCCGCAAUGGGCGAAAGCCUGACGGAGCAAUACCGCGUGAGGGAGGAAGGCUCUUGGGUCGUAAACCUCUUUUCUCAAGGAAGAACACAAUGACGGUACUUGAGGAAUAAGCAUCGGCUAACUCCGUGCCAGCAGCCGCGGUAAUACGGAGGAUGCAAGCGUUAUCCGGAAUGAUUGGGCGUAAAGGGUCCGCAGGUGGAACUGAAAGUCUGCUGUUAAAGAAUCUGGCUCAACCAGAUAAAAGCAGUGGAAACUACAGAACUAGAGUAUGGUGGGGGUAGAAGGAAUUCCUAGUGUAGCGGUGAAAUGCGUAGAUAUUAGGAAGAACACCGGUGGCGAAAGCGUUCUACUAGACCUAGACUGACACUGAGGGACGAAAGCUAGGGGAGCGAAUGGGAUUAGAUACCCCAGUAGUCCUAGCCGUAAACGAUGGAUACUAGGCGUGGCUUGUAUCGACCCGAGCCGUGCCGGAGCCAACGCGUUAAGUAUCCCGCCUGGGGAGUACGCACGCAAGUGUGAAACUCAAAGGAAUUGACGGGGGCCCGCACAAGCGGUGGAGUAUGUGGUUUAAUUCGAUGCAACGCGAAGAACCUUACCAAGGCUUGACAUCCUGCGAAUCCCGGUGAAAGCUGGGAGUGCCUUAGGGAGCGCAGAGACAGGUGGUGCAUGGCUGUCGUCAGCUCGUGUCGUGAGAUGUUGGGUUAAGUCCCGCAACGAGCGCAACCCUCGUUUUUAGUUGCCAGCAUUAAGUUGGGCACUCUAGAGAGACCGCCGGUGACAAACCGGAGGAAGGUGAGGAUGACGUCAAGUCAGCAUGCCCCUUACGCCUUGGGCUACACACGUACUACAAUGCUACGGACAAAGGGCAGCUACACAGCGAUGUGAUGCAAAUCUCAGAAACCGUAGCUCAGUUCAGAUCGAAGGCUGCAACUCGCCUUCGUGAAGGAGGAAUCGCUAGUAAUUGCAGGUCAGCAUACUGCAGUGAAUUCGUUCCCGGGCCUUGUACACACCGCCCGUCACACCAUGGAAGUUGGUCACGCCCGAAGUCAUUACCCCAACCGCAAGGAGGGGGAUGCCGAAGGUAGGACUGGUGACUGGGGUGAAGUCGAAACAAGGUA